rnacentral:rRNA from 1 species
UACGUAGGGGGCAAGCGUUGUCCGGAAUCAUUGGGCGUAAAGAGCGCGUAGGCGGUCCGGUAAGUCCGCUCUGAAAGUCCGGGGCUCAACCCCGGGAGGCGGGCGGAUACUGUCGGGCUAGAGUCCGGAAGAGGCGAGUGGAAUUCCUGGUGUAGCGGUGAAAUGCGCAGAUAUCAGGAGGAACACCGGUGGCGAAGGCGGGUCUCUGGGCAGUAACUGACGCUGAGGAGCGAAAGCGUGGGGAGCAAACAGG